GUGCUGGAAACACUGGGAGGCAGGAAGUUUGAAAAAAACGGCCACUCCCGCCCGCAAUGUCUCGGUCGUGGGUUCGUUAUGCCAGUUGUUCAAGCCGUUCUGUACAUUUAUACUGGAUAUUAACUGGAGUCAUUUAGCUGUGCUGAUGCUGUUUGCCGUGUGUUUUGCAUCAGUGCUUCGUGACAUCGGCUGUAUUGCGUGUUUUCGCCGACGGCUUACUACCACAAUGGCGGGAUCUGCGUUCGCCGCCUUCGUGUCUCGGUGCGUCUUUGUACGUCGCACGUUCGGAUAACACUUUUUCCGACGGCUGGACAUCCUUCUUGUACCUUGGCGCUAGCUGGAUGACGGGACCUCAUCAUGAUCAGUGUAUUGCUUUCCUAUGUCUACAAGAACCGUCACGGGUGGCCUGUGACGGCAAGCUUUUGGGGGCAGCCAGUGCUCUCCUACGAAGGCUGGCCUACUCUGGCAGCGGCGGCAAUCAUCUUCAAGAUUUAUCGAUGAUCACCUUUGCUGCUAUUUGUCACUCUUCUUAAUUACACUUUCUGCAUCUUUUCUAAUCUAUUAGGUAAUAAAGUAUGAGUAUGUGA